UGAACCGUUUCCUACUUGAUUUAAGUGACAAUGAACAGAGUGUUUAUAUCUCUAUGAUGACAGAUUUUGCACACAUCAAAGCUAUUUCAAAAAAAAAUGUUUAAGUGUUUUAAAACUGGUAAUAUACUGAGAUUUAAUCAAAAAUAAAACCAGAGGUCUAUAGUAUAAAGUCUUCAUGGAGAACGAAUAUUUGACAUCAGCACAAAGAGAAUAUAUUAUGGACUUUAUGAAACCAAAAUCUGAAUCCAGAUGUAUAGUUUAUUAUAAAGGUACGCAGAAUAAAUAUGACAGUGCUCUAUGAAUCGCAGAACGCAGCACUACAGGCCUGUAAACACCUGUCAGCAUGCGUGGAGGCUCAUGUUUUGAAAAUAAGUUGGCAAAGUAGGCCGUAGUCUCAAAUUUGGCCUAAAUGUAGUCGGCUAAUGGAAACAUUUCUCACGCCAUUAUGGAAAAGGUUGAGACACAAUCCUAAAUAGCCUAUGUGCGCCUCAAAUAAAUGGGAUAAAUCUAUCUCUGAGCUACUCUAUUGAAUAUCAACCCUCUUGCACCAUGUCCACAUAAACGUAAAUGAAAAAAGUGCUAACUUAGAUGUACUAACUAUGAUUUUGUGAAUCAGCUGUAAAAAAUUCCUUAUUAAGAUGCCCACGUUUUCUGUGGGUUUUUUUUCUUUAUUUUGUUGGUUUUUUUUCCUCUAGGUGGUGGGGGAUGCAAAAGGAUAAAAAAGGUCCGUAUGUGGGAGCGCAAGGCGCAGAAACUAACAAAAAAAGACGCGUCAGCGCGCGGCGAGGCAACACAUCCUCUCUGACGUCAUUACGACCCGUGCCUUAUACACUCCACUCGUUUACGUGUUCUCACGUGGAUGGUCUGUGACCUCGACCGCUGUACGUUUUCAUUUACGAGUGCUGUUAUGUAGGCAGAAAUAUAUACUCACCAGGGCUGUGGGAUUCACACCCCUGUAGUGCAUGGAGCAUGCGUGGCAACACCAAAAGUAAAGCUGAAAGGCUGCCGGGAACUGGGUGCCCAAUUGUGGUCGUGGGUAGAAAGAGCUGGGGUGGCCUGUUGGGGGCCCAUUGUGCUGUUGCAACAUUGGAGCCCAGAAUCCCUAGCAGCACCUCUGGCUCGAUGGCCUCUCACUGAUUGGUGUCUCCCAGGACCUCACCGAGUGUGAGUGCGAGCGUGGAGAUUAAGCUGGAAAUGUUACGGGUGGCUUUGCGCACCAUAUGUACCAUGAUGUUAAGAACAAAAAUGAAAAUUUAAAAAACAGCAACAACAAAAAAACAAACAAAACAAAACAAAAAACUAAAUCAGGAGUGACUGGAUGAGGCUAUUUGUCAGAGCUGAGAUGGAUGCUGUUGAAAAGCUAGGCAGUCAGCCAGCCAGGCGGGCCAGCCGGCCGGUCCCAUGCAGUCAGUAUGAGUGCAGUCCAGUGGAUGUAGAGGCCUAUCAGUGCAGGGCCGAGGCAGUGUCUAUCUCUUUAUGGUGCUAUAGCCCCUUGAUCGCUCCUCGGGGGCCUCGCCACUCAGAAUAUGUCACUUUUGCAUUGUUAUUCUGACGCUUCUUCUUUUUUUUUUUUCUUUCCUCCACGUGUCCAAAACAUGUCAGGUUUCCCCUCCAAGCCAGAGACGAAGCCACUGACUAGUGUAGGACAUUUUAUAUGUGUGCAAUAUUGCAUACGUGCCAAUCGUGGCAUUGUAUCACCUGUAUAAACUAUUAAAAGACGAAAAAAAUGUAUAGGCUAUGUGAUCAGUAGAUAUUUGAAAGCAUGAUGAAGUGGAUGCAUCUGCAUUAUAUUUCCAAAAUGUGAAGACUUUUCUUCUCGAAGUGAAAAAAGUCAGACUUGUAGUGAGGUAUUUUUUUCCUGUCACUUUCUGUAAACCAGUAGGCUGCCUUGUCUGUCUCUCGGUGCACGUAGACUAGUUCGGGUGUUUUACGUCCUCCCUAUGGAGUCAGCCCAGAGAAAAAUCCCAUUCCCCUCCAAACACACGACACAGACCGUCAACAACCUCUCGCUGUCGCCAUGUCGGCCCCACUGCGGUGGCCUACAUUAAGUUUGAAUAGUAUCUUGGGGCUUGAGUCCAGGGGUGGCUGACACACACACACACACACACACACACACACACACACACACGCACACACACACUCUCCCCCUAUUGAGGCCUCUUGUUGCUAUCUGAGUGUUUGGGAGGCCUCUGAAGUGUUUUGAAUUGUGUCUAGAACUGCACAAGGCCUCCUGUCAUUAGAAGAAAGGAAACUGUGUGUUUGGAGCCUGAGUGCGAGCCCUCUCUCACCUGGGACUGCCGGACAGGUGAACCACAGUUUGACUUCGGCUUUUCUGUGGUUUCACUUCAGCUAGGCGAUAGUGAUCGGCUGCGGCCGAGCCAAAGGACAGAGGAGUUUGUUGUUGUUUUCAUAGCAAGGAUCACAAUUCUCUCUGAUGUGAGCGGACUCUCAUCGCAGUCUCGCUCCUCUUUCCCAGCUCGGCUUCACAGCGUCAAAAAAAAAAGCCACUGGCUUGUUGUCUGUGCAGUAUUCAUCAUUGAAGACAUGUUGUCCAUUCCUUGAUUUUGGCUCAGCUGACCUUUAGAUCUACACUAAGGUUCUGCUUAACUCUCAAUUUAUUUCAAGGGUUAAUAUGACUGAGCCUGGUCUCAGUCCCUGUCAGAGUGGCAUGCUACCUAGCUGACGUGAAGGGAACACUUUAGAGGCCUCAGCUGGAUAAAAGCGGCUAAUGCACUUACAACCGGGGCCUACCGUACAUGUAGGAGAGCUGAGGCUAUACCGAAGCAGAAGACCCUGGAGCACACCUGGGCUCAAAAGGUAUCACAAGUUGAAUCCGUACUUUUAAAAGCUGAUUUGUGUUUGAUUGGUUGCGUCUGUGACGACAGGAAAAAAAAAAUGUUCCAGAAAAUCCCAUCUGUUCCACACACAGGACUUUUUUUCUUUUUGGCCCGCGUUUGUCUCAGUGACAGUGAAAGGCCUGAUGAAGCCUGGCACUGCACUGUAAGGGCUUACCAGCAGCAGCAGCAGCCUACCACAACCUUCUGACCUGGCUGUAAACAAAUUGAAUUAGGACCUUUCUCUUUGUGUUUUGGAGAAGAACAGGAAAUCUUUCUCACCUCUCGGAGAGAUGAUUAUAUUUCCUCACACUGCCCUCGCUACAAAAAGCUCAUUUUCAUUGAACGCACGUAUGAGCCACCUAUGAAUAUGUGUCCAGAGAAGCACAUCUGAGGUCAACUCGAGUUCAUCUUGAGGUCAACAUGAGUCUGAAGUCUCUUUUGUGAUCCAGCACUUAUUCCCCAAAGUGUUCUAGCUUUAGCUUGAUCGAAUUUAGGCCUCCGGGAGGCCUCUGCUACAUGCUAAGACUGGAAAUAUGACGCUUCCUUUCUCUUUUUCUCUCUAGUGGCCAAAUAUGAGGAGAGCCUGAACAUGCUCAUAGAGUUCACUUUGUGAAUGCCUCACUCUGUGAAAACGCACACAGUUUGUUUGUUUGUUUGUUUCUCAAAAGAUUUACAGACAUGUUGUUUUGUUAUCGUCAGGUGCUACUUGGUCAACUGCGCUUUUAGCACCGAAUGAUCCCGUCGUGAAACGUGGCUCGUCCAUUUUCGGGUCUCAGCUCUCUCCGAGACCCGAAAAUGGUUACAGAGGAAGUGGCGUACUUCCAGCGUGGUCGAACCUGAUUUCGCGAUAGCUUACCCGGUGUCACAGUGACCUUGCAGCCAUGUUGUGCCCACAUUUACACAGUCAUCCAUCUCUAAGACUCAAAUGCAAAAUAGAAGGCGGAUGCUGUUCGCCUUGUUUUCUGUGUCAGCGGCAGGCCGCGUGCUGUCCUCGGCGGCUCCAGCCAGGAUAUUUCUUACUGAAAUAUGGCCUUUCCUGACUAUAUGACGAUGGUGCUUACUUUGGCUUUGACAUCAAGCUCAUCCUAUACAUCUCGACAUCAUCAUCAUAACUCGCGUCCUUACAUUUCUUUCUGUUAUGUACUCUCACUACCUUAUUAAAUUUCCGUUGAUGGCAACAAAAAAAAAAAAAGGUGUGCUGUUUUGUACAUUGCUGUUUGUUUUAAUGUUGAGGGAGCUUUGUUGUCUGAAAAAUGACUAAUGGCGCAAUAAAAUGUCAUUCCACA